CCUGUGCUCCAGCCCCCAAGAUGGAUUCACUGAGUCUGGGAUAAAGGUCUUGGAAUCUAAUAAUUUUUAAUUAAAUUUUAUUUCUUUAAAGCAGCUUUUGGUUUACAGAAAAGUUGGGCAAAAAGUACGCAGUUUCCAUAUACCUCCUCUCCCCCCACCCAGUUUUCCCUGUUAUUAACAUCUUGCUUUAGUGUAGUACAUUAUUACAAAUGAACCAAUAAUACUGAUACAUCAUUAUUAACUGAAGUCCACAGUUUAAGAUAGAUAGAACUGAUGGCCUUGCAAAGAGAAGGAGAAAGAGAGACAGCUCAGAGGAAAGGCCAUGCGAGGACAAUGCAACUGUCUGCAAGCCAGGAAGAGCGCCUCCCCCAGAAAACAAAACCUCCUCCAACCUUGAGCUUGGACCUCCAGUCUCUAGAGCUGUGAGAAAACAAAUUCCUUUUGCUCAAGCCGCACAAGUCCAUGGAAUUUUGUUACGGCAGCCUGAGCAGACUAAUACACACCCCAAGACCAUGCUUUGAGAAAUCACUACUCUACAGUAGAAGUAACCAAGGCACUUGCAGCAUCUGGGAACUUAUCAGUAAUCAGAAACUGGAGCCCCAUCCCAGACCUACUGAAUCAGUAUCCUCAUUUUAACAUCAUCAUCAAGUGGCUCCAGGUUUCAAGCAGCAAAUACCUACAACCUUGAUCAUCUGACUACACCUGCAAAUUGCUUUGUGAUUCUUGAUCUCUCUCAUGAUGAUAAUUAUCGGUGAAAACAACCUACUUUGAGAUCUUCACAUUAAAGGGAAUAUGAAUAUGCCACAAUGAGACAAAAAUGAGAUGAAGAAACGAGAGCCCACGGAAAGUGACUUAUUUGAAUUUUCAAAGGAGCACAAGGUACAGCCAGGACACAAACCUCAUCAUCUGACAUCUUUCAACACUUGGUGCUAUAAGCCUUGCCAAGUUUAUAUAAGCUGGAGCACUGCCAAAUGAACUGCAAUUCUCUAAGCAGCAAAAUUCAGAUUUGCUUUGCAACUCUGUCUUCAGGAUAAAUCCAUAUUAUAAAUGUAAAGUUAUUAUAUUGCUUAGCUGCAUUUCUCCUGACUUGUGGACUUCAGGAAAUUCACUGACUGACGACAUUCUCUAUGUGGCAGGAAAGGUGAUUAGGGGAUUUGCUUCGGAACAGAAAUUUAGUUGAACCUGGAAGCCCUGCAACAACUUAUAUCUUUAAUGAAGUUAAUGCCGAAAAGAUUUUACCUAAAUUCCAUCUCUCUAGGUUCUAGAUUUGAAUUGUAUGUUCUAAUUGGGGGACAUGUUCAAUAAAUUUCAGACCACUUUAUACCUUU